rnacentral:rRNA from 1 species
GCUCAGAAACUUAAGGAAUUGACGGGGCCCGCACAAGCGGUGGAGCAUGUGGUUUAAUUCGAUGAUACGCGAGGAACCUUACCUGGGCUCAAAUGUAUGUUGACGUAUUCUGAAAGGGAUACUUCUUCGGACAAUAUACAAGGUGCUGCAUGGUUGUCGUCAGCUCGUGCCGUGAGGUGUCGGGUUAAGUCCCAUAACGAGCGCAACCCCUAUCAUUAGUUGCCAUCAGGUCAAGCUGGGGACUCUAAUGAAACUGCCUACGCAAGUAGUGAGGAAGGUGGGGAUGACGUCAAAUCAGCACGGCCCUUACGUCCAGGGCUACACACGUGCUACAAUGGCCGAUACAGAGGGCAGCUACCUGGUGACAGGAUGCAAAUCUCCAAAGUCGGUCUCAGUUCGGAUCGGAGUCUGCAACCCGACUCCGUGAAGUUGGAUUCGCUAGUAAUCGCGCAUCAGCCAUGGCGCGGUGAAUACGUUCCCGGGCCUU